rnacentral:tRNA from 1 species
GGCUUGAUAGCUCAACUGGUAGAAUACUGCACCAGCAUCACAGAGGUCAGGGUUUCGAAUACCCGUUCAGGCCU